GACCAAGUGUCCGAGUGGUCUAAGGAGUCAGACUUGAACUACACUCGUCAUCUGAUACGCUAUGCGUGCGCAGGUUCAAACCCUGUCUUGGUCG